AAGACUCUAGUAAAACAGAAAAUCACACUGCCUUGUCAAGGCAGAAUUGUGGGUUAAAACCCCACGUGUCUUG
rnacentral:tRNA from 1 species